AACAUGCAUAUAUUUGGAUCAUUUCUUAGAUUCAAGAAAAUGGAAAAAAAAACAAGGGGAAUUGCCGCUAAUACCACUUUUCUAAUACCACUUUUCAACAUUACACUUUUCAAAUUUACCAUUAAAAUUUUAAUGGCUAAAGUACCAUUAUACCCCUCAUUUCAUUAAUUUAACCUAGAUCUAUUCUUCUCCAAAUGUCUGUCACGAGAUGAAAAUGAGAUCAAAUUGAGACGAGCUCCAACGAGAUCUCCGGCAAACUCGGUGAUCUCCGGCGAAUUCGGCGAUCUCCGGCGAACUUGGCGAUCUCCGGCGAACUCGACGAUCUCCGACGAACUCGACCGGAUUGGGAGAGCGUGGCGGCGAGUGGACAUCCCGCCGUUCCUCCGCCGGCAUUAUGUAGUCGUAGUAAUCCUCUGAUGCUAAAUCGGUCACGUUCGUCACGAAUCGCAUGCCGAGAAGUUCUCCGGCAAAGCUGACAGACCCGACAAGCUCAGACGAACGAGACGAUCUCUCUCCCAACGCCUAAGAAACACUAACAAAGAGAAUUACAAAUGUGUGUUGUCAGCUUUUGGAUUUAAAGGAUGUUGUGGAGAAUAUGUGUGGUGAUAUGCAUAUCUAAGUAUCUCACUUCCUUAAGAAGCAGUGGAGAUGAAUGAUGAGUUUGUUGAGUUACGAAAGCAUACUAUUUUUGAAUCUUAUUUUUGGAAGUGAAUGCUGAUGCGUAGAAAUAAUAUGUGACUGGCUUUUGUUCAGAUUUUGAAAAUUUACGAGGUUGGUGAGCUGUUUGAAGAGGCAAGAGAGACUCUGAAGAAGAAUGUGGUUUGUGCUAUCAAAGAAUUACGUAUUUAUAACGCUUUAUAAAAGUUGCAGAGUUGGCUUCUUAGUAUAUUCUUUUCUCUCAUCUUAUUUAGACAUCUCUUAUACUAAAACAAUUGUAUCUCUCUUUUAGUAGUUGCAUAGUUGAAGAUAUUAGUUGGACAUGUAAGUGAGUUUGGUUUCAAUUGUUUCUUUUAUAGAAGAGUGAGAUAUGGAGAAGCCUUGAUAUUCUCAGACUAUGUUAAAGCAAUAUAUCCCUUGUUGAAGGACGUGGCUCUUUCACCAGAUA